UGGGCGAAAGCCUGACGGAGCAAGACCGCGUGAGGGAGGAAGGCUCUUGGGUUGUAAACCUCUUUUCUCAGGGAAGAAGCUCUGACGGUACCUGAGGAAUCAGCCUCGGCUAACUCCGUGCCAGCAGCCGCGGUAAUACGGAGGAGGCAAGCGUUAUCCGGAAUUAUUGGGCGUAAAGCGUCCGCAGGUGGCGAUUCAAGUCUGCUGUCAAAGCACGGGGCUUAACUCCGUUAAGGCAGUGGAAACUGAAUAGCUAGAGUGCCGUAGGGGUAGAGGGAAUUCCCGGUGUAGCGGUGAAAUGCGUAGAGAUCGGGAAGAACAUCGGUGGCGAAAGCGCUCUACUGGACGGCAACUGACACUCAGGGACGAAAGCUAGGGGAGCGAAUGGGAUUAGAUACCCCAGUAGUCCUAGCUGUAAACGAUGGAUACUAGGUGUAGCUUGUAUCGACCCGAGCUGUGCCGAAGCUAACGCGUUAAGUAUCCCGCCUGG
rnacentral:rRNA from 1 species